rnacentral:rRNA from 1 species
CCUACGGGAGGCAGCAGUGGGGAAUAUUGCACAAUGGGCGCAAGCCUGAUGCAGCGACGCCGCGUGGGGGAUGACGGCCUUCGGGUUGUAAACCUCUUUCACCUACGACGAAGCGCAAGUGACGGUAGUAGGAGAAGAAGCACCGGCCAACUACGUGCCAGCAGCCGCGGUAAUACGUAGGGUGCGAGCGUUGUCCGGAAUUACUGGGCGUAAAGAGCUCGUAGGUGGUUUGUCGCGUUGUUCGUGAAAACUCACAGCUUAACUGUGGGCGUGCGGGCGAUACGGGCAGACUGGAGUACUGCAGGGGAGACUGGAAUUCCUGGUGUAGCGGUGGAAUGCGCAGAUAUCAGGAGGAACACCGGUGGCGAAGGCGGGUCUCUGGGCAGUAACUGACGCUGAGGAGCGAAAGCGUGGGGAGCGAACAGGAUUAGAUACCCUGGUAGUCCACGCCGUAAACGGUGGGUACUAGGUGUGGGUUUCCUUCCUUGGGAUCCGUGCCGUAGCUAACGCAUUAAGUACCCCGCUUGGGGAGUACGGCCGCAAGGCUAAAACUCAAAGGAAUUGACGG